UCCUUCACCGAUUUUCAAACUGAGUUCCAGAAUCUCUCUCUUGAAAUUGAAGCUGUACUGGUGAUCGAGCUUUACCAGAGUCUCUCUCUCGCUCUCGCUCGAAAUCGAAAUCGAAAUCGAAGCGGUACUGGAGAUCGAGCUUUUCUUAAUCCCCUGGAAAUUCCUGCUAGAAAUGGCUUGUUUGCGUGCUGUCUCGAGGAGGACAAAUCUUUUGCCUAGACAGUUUUGGAUGCUCGAACGGCCAGUUCUUCAUGUUAACAAAGAUGAUACCAGAACUGAUUAUUUGAAUUCCAGCCCUUUGACUUGUGGACUGCAUAGUCAAGCUCGUAGGCAUGAUUGUUCGUUGGAAGAGAGGAAACACAUGUCUUUUGCCCGAACAUUGGGAUCUGGCUUCUUACUCUGUAGGCACAUGUCUUCGAAACCAGAAGAAUGUUCGAACAAGAUCGAUUGGAAUUCCACAGUUGUUGAGGAACUUGUCCCAGAAGAAUCUUUGGAAGCAGUAAUCUCUCAAGUCUCCUCUGUAAAAGAGGUGGCAAUCGCUGCUGCAGAUUCUUCUCUUCCUGUUGCUGCCAUCCAGCACUUUAUUGAUAGUGUUCAUGCAUUUACCGGCUUCAAUUGGUGUUUAUCGAUAGUUCUCUCGACUUUUCUUGUUGGAGGAUUAUAUAUCCCAGCCCAUGUAAAACGGUUGAAUGCCGGUCCAGAUUUGCUAAUACUUUUCAACAUGCAGUGAAAAUGAUCCAGGUUUGUUAUUCGUCUUCCCAUCUUUGAGCUUCCAUGAAUGUACAUCCACAUUCCAGGCCACUUCGACUCCUAGUUUGAAAGGACCAACCCAAUUCGUAUCCCCAUCUAGUGGGGUGUUGGGGAAGGAAAUAUAAUAGGCCGCUUUAUCCCUACAUUUUAUGUAGAGUGACGGAUUCAAAUCCACAUUUUAAAUAUCUUGGGUCAAUCCUUCAAAAGGAUGGAGGUUGCGACGAAGAUGUUAGUCAUAGAAUAAAAGCGGGUUGGAUGAAAUGGAGACAAGCCACGGGGGUUCUUUGUGACCGUAAGGUUCCCCUACGGUUGAAAGGAAAAUUCUACCGUACCGCCAUAAGACCCGCACUAUUGUAUGGUAGUGAAUGUUGGGCGGCGAAAGGGCAACAUAUGUCUGCAAUGAGUGUGGCCGAGAUGAGGAUGUUGAGAUGGAUUUGCGGACACACAAGAUUGGAUAAAAUUAGAAAUGAGAUUAUUAGAAAGAAAAUAGGAGUAAUAGGUAUCGAAGAGAAGAUAAGAGAAGGGCGUUUAAGAUGGUUUGGUCAUGUACAACGUAGGCCGAUUGAUGCACCGGUUAGAAAAGUGGAGAGUAUAGGUAUAGGGGUGAGAAAGAAAGGACGAGGAAGACCUAGGCUUACUUGGGAGCGGGUCAUUAAAAACGAUUUGAAAAUGUUGCAGAUUCCGAAAGAGUUAACCCGAGAUCGAAAUGAGUGGAGAAGAAGGAUUCAUGCGGCCGACCCCAAAUGAACUUGGGAAUAAGACCAUGUUGUUGUUGUUGUUGUUGACGGAUUCAAAUCCACGACCUCAAACCCCAGUGUAAAUGGUUUUACCGCUGAGCCAAAUCGGCCCUUCACUUAGUCUCCUAGUUUUGCUGAAAAGAAAUUCGAAAAGGUCCAUUGGCUGUAAAUAUUUCAAAAUGGUGAAAAACACGUGAUAUAUCUCAUGCUUUUCUAAUCAAGUGGUUAUUUGCAGACAGAUCUAGUGAAGUUUAAAAGAGAAUGGCUAUUGAUCUUUGACGACUUGAAACCUGGUCUUUCUCUACUGAUUGCAACUGCUGCGGACUGGUUCAUCU